rnacentral:sRNA from 1 species
AAGCCCGGGUUUUCCCUUUUGAGAGCCACAACCAAGAAAUAAAAAUCUAGCAAAGAGGGGGCCACUUUCUGCGGCGAGAUACGCCCUCUCGGCCGCUCCUCCAGCUCCCAGGCCCCCUCCCUACUCGACGGAUGGUCUGGUGGUAUUUGGGAAAAAUUCAGCCCGGCCCAGAGAUGAAGUGCAAGAGGUUGUGUAUUUCUCGGCUGCUGAUCACGAACCGGAGAGCAAGGUUGAGUGCACUUACAUUUCAAUCGACCAAGUUCCGAGGACCCAUGCCAUAAUGAUAAGCAGACCCGCCUGGCUCUGGGGAGCAGAAAUGGGAGCCAAUGAACAUGGAGUGUGCAUAGCCAAUGAAGCCAUCAACACCAGAGAGCCAGCUGCCGAGAUAGAAGCCUUGCUGGGGAUGGAUCUGGUCAGGCUUGGUUUAGAAAGAGGGGAAACAGCUAAAGAAGCCUUAGAUGUCAUUGUCUCCUUGUUGGAAGAACAUGGACAAGGUGGGAAUUACUAUGAAGAUGCAAACUCCUGCCACAGCUUCCAAAGUGCAUAUCUGAUU